rnacentral:rRNA from 1 species
CCCUUAGAUGUUCUGGGCCGCACGCGCGCUACACUGAUGCAUUCAACAAGCCUAGCCUUGACCGAGAGGUCCGGGUAAUCAUUGAAACUGCAUCGUGAUGGGGCUAGAUUAUUGCAAUUAUUAAUCUUCAACGAGGAAUGCCUAGUAAGCGUGAUUCAUCAAAUCGCGUUGAUUACGUCCCUGCCCUUUGUACACACCGCCCGUCGCUCCUACCGAUUGAAUGUGUUGGUGAGGAGCUCGGAUUGGCAGCAGUUGGUGGUUCGCCACCGGCUAUUGCUGAGAAGUCCUCCAAACCGCCCCAUUUAGAGGAAGGAGAAGUCGUAACA